rnacentral:lncRNA from 1 species
AUGACAAAUGGAAAGAAAAAAGUAUUGGCAGCAGAGACGGAGGACCUCCGGAAGGAGUGGGUGGGAUAUCUCUGGCAGGCCAUGCAUCUCUCUGCCUCUACGACCUCCGUCUCUGAGGACGCACAACUUGAUGUGUGUGAGCAGCGAGAAAGACUACAUAGCAUGGCACCCAUCUGCUCACACCGCGAAAGUGUCAUGGAGGAGCUUCCAAUUCGGCCCCUCUCUGCGCCCCCUCCCUCUGACUACAUCUACGCACAACCCCAUAAAAUCUGCCCCCGCACCAAAGACACCUUGCAACCCAAAGACACCUUGCAACCCAAAGACACCUGGCAACCCAAAGACACCUGGCAACCCAAAGACACCUGGCAACCCAAAGACACCUGGCAACCCAAGGAGACCUCUCAGCCCCAAAACACCUGGCAGCCCACAGAGCAGGACAACGAGGAGGAGAUUUAUCAGAACACAGGGAAAGCUUACCAGAAUCGCAACGAUGACUGUCCCAGCGAUCCCCAGUGGUCCAGCCAGAUGAGUAGUGCAGAGGCCGGACAAGAAGGACACUAUGAUGUUUUGCCUGUUAGAAACAGUAUGACCAAAAACUUUCUUUAA